GUGGGGAAUAUUGGGCAAUGGGGGCAACCCUGACCCAGCAACGCCGCGUGAGGGAAGAAGGUUUUCGGAUUGUAAACCUCUGUCCUAUGGGAAGAAGGAAGUGACGGUACCAUAGGAGGAAGCCCCGGCUAACUACGUGCCAGCAGCCGCGGUAAUACGUAGGGGGCGAGCGUUGUCCGGAAUUACUGGGCGUAAAUGGUGCGCAGGUGGCCUGACAAGUCAGAUGUGAAAUACCGAUGCUUAACGUCGGGGCUGCAUUUGAAACUAUGAGGCUGGAGUGCAGGAGAGGGAAGCGGAAUUCCUAGUGUAGCGGUGAAAUGCAUAGAUAUUAGGAGGAACACCAGUGGCGAAGGCGGCUUUCUGGACUGUAACUGACACUGAGGCACGAAAGCGUGGGGAGCAAACAGGAUUAGAUACCCGAGUAGUCC
rnacentral:rRNA from 1 species